GACUAACGCUGGCGGCAUGCAUCAUACAUGCAAGUCGAACGGAUUAGGUUGUAGCAAUACGAUCUAGUUAGUGGCGAACGGGUGAGUAACACGUAGGUAACCUGCCCUUGAGACCGGGAUAACAUGCCGAAAGGCGUGCUAAUACCGGAUGUGACCACGGCCUCGCAUGGGGUUGGGUAAAGGAAGUAGGCAGCAAUGCUAUCGCUUGAGGAGUGGGCCUGGCGGGCGUAUCAGCUAGUUGGUGGGGUAACGGCCGUACCAAGCUAUGACGGCUAGCCGGCUUGAGAGAGUGAA
rnacentral:rRNA from 1 species